CAGGCUAUACGGUAGCGUGAACGCAAAGUUCAUGAGGAAAGUCCGAGCAUCACAGAGCAGGAUAGCUGAUAACAUCAGCCGAGGGCGACCUUAGAGCAAGUGCAACAGAGAUAUACCGCCGGAGCGUAUCGUUUCCGGUAAGGGUGGAAAGGCGAGGUAAGAGCUCACCGGAGCAAUAGAGAUAUUGCUGCCAUGUAAACCUUAUCCGAUGCAACACCAAUGGUAACCGUUAAGUCAAUGGCUGCUCGUCAGGCUUGCGGUUAUAGGUGGCUUGAGCUGUCCGGCGACGGUCAGCCUAGAUAGAUUACCGUACACGACAAAACUCGGCUUAUCGGUCUGGUC
rnacentral:RNase_P_RNA from 1 species